rnacentral:tRNA from 2 species
GCAUUGGUGAUAUAGUGGUGAGCAUAGCUGCCUUCAAGCAGCUGACCCAGGUUCGAUUCCUGGCCAAUGCA